GCUCAACCGAGGAAGUGCUUCGAAAACUGGUAAACUUGAGUGCAGAAGAGGAAAGUGGAACUCCAUGUGUAGCGGUGGAAUGCGUAGAUAUAUGGAAGAACACCAGUGGCGAAGGCGGCUUUCUGGUCUGUAACUGACGCUGAGAUUCGAAAGCAUGGGUAGCAAACAGGAUUAGAUACCCUGGUAGUCCAUGCCGUAAACGAUGAGUGCUAAGUGUUGGAGGGUUUCCGCCCUUCAGUGCUGCAGCUAACGCAUUAAGCACUCCGCCUGGGGAGUACGACCGCAAGGUUGAAACUCAAAGGAAUUGACGGGGGCCCGCACAAGCGGUGGAGCAUGUGGUUUAAUUCGAAGCAACGCGAAGAACCUUACCAGGUCUUGACAUACCAUGAAAAGCUUAGAGAUAAGUCUUUCCCUUCGGGGACAUGGAUACAGGUGGUGCAUGGUUGCCGUCAGCUCGUGUCGUGAGAUGUUGGGUUAAGUCCCGCAACGAGCGCAACCCUUAUUAUCAGUUGCCAGCAUUCAGUUGGGCACUCUGGUGAGACUGCCGGUGACAAACCGGAGGAAGGUGGGGACGACGUCAAAUCAUCAUGCCCCUUAUGACCUGGGCUACACACGUGCUACAAUGGUCGGUACAACG
rnacentral:rRNA from 1 species